rnacentral:rRNA from 1 species
UGCUCAGGAUGAACGCUGGCGGCGUGCUUAACACAUGCAAGUCGAACGAUGAAGACCGUGCUUGCACGGUUGGAUUAGUGGCGAACGGGUGAGUAUCACGUGAGUAACCUUCCCUUAACUCUGGGAUAAGCCCGGGAAACUGGGUCUAAUACCGGAUACGACCAGUCCUCGCAUGGGGUGCUGGUGGAAAGAUUUAUCGGUUUUGGAUGGACUCGCGGCCUAUCAGCUUGUUGGUGAGGUAAUGGCUCACCAAGGCGAUGACGGGUAGCCGGCCUGAGAGGGUGACCGGCCACACUGGGACUGAGACACGGCCCAGACUCCUACGGGAGGCAGCAGUGGGGAAUAUUGCACAAUGGGCGAAAGCCUGAUGCAGCGACGCCGCGUGCGGGAUGACGGCCUUCGGGUUGUAAACCGCUUUCAGCAGGGAAGAAGCGAAAGGACGGACCU